UCGGGUAUGGUGUAACGGCUAACAUUGCCGCCUCUCAAUCAUCGUGCGCGGCAGCUCGGGGUUCGAUUCCCCGUACCCGAA